GACGAAGGUGGCUAGCGUUGCUCGGAUUUACUGGGCAUAAAGAGCUCGUAGGCGGUUUGUUGCGUCUAUCGUGAAAACCUGCAGCUUAACUGUGGGCUUGCGGUGGAUACGGGCAGACUUGAGUUCGGUAGGGGAGACUGGAAUUCCUGGUGUAGCGGUGAAAUGCGCAGAUAUCAGGAGGAACACCAAUAGCGAAGGCAGCUCGCUGGGACGGUAUUGACGCUAAGGCGCGAAAGCGUGGGGAGCAAACAGG
rnacentral:rRNA from 1 species